CCAGAGUCCACCCAAAAUGUACCCAAGGUGAAAGUCCUCUACUCCUGCAACACCAAGCCAGGCGCUGUCGAGCUGGUGUGCUUCAUCUCUGGCUUCUACCCCGAGACUUUGACGGUGGAAUGGCUGGUGGACGGCCAGCCCGGGGAACUAAAGGGUGACACUGAGCCUCCCAAGAAGGACGCCGACGGCCGCACCUUCAGCACCCGCAGCAAUGCCAGUGUCUCCCAGAGCAAGUGGCUGGAGGGCAAGAAGUACACCUGCCAGGUGUCCCACCCAGACACCGGCACCAAAAAGCAGGGCCACGCCAGCAAGUGCGAAGGUGAAGCUCACCGGCGCUAG